rnacentral:misc_RNA from 1 species
GAUGAAGAACGUAGCGAAAUGCGAUAAGUAAUGUGAAUUGCAGAAUUCAGUGAAUCAUCGAAUCUUUGAACGCACAUUGCGCCCGCCAGUAUUCUGGCGGGCAUGCCUGUUCGAGCGUCAUUACAACCCUCAGGCCCCCGGGCCUGGCGUUGGGGAUCGGCGGAAGCCCCCUGCGGGCACAACGCCGUCCCCCAAAUACAGUGGCGGUCCCGCCGCAGCUUCCAUUGCGUAGUAGCUAACACCUCGCAACUGGAGAGCGGCGCGGCCACGCCGUAAAACACCCAACUUCUGAAUGUUGACCUCGAAUCAGGUAGGAAUACCCGCUGAACUUAAGCAUAUAAUAGCGGAGGA